UGCAAAGGGCUGCAGAGAAGAGGCUGCUUUCAAAUCAAAAAAUGGCAAAAGUCAGUCUUUCUCAAAAAACUCAAUUUAGAGACGCUAAGUUGCUACUUGCAAUGAAGUACAAGGAACUGGAAAAACUUAGAAGCAUCAUCCAGGCCAAACAAGAACAACUUGUAGGAAAGCACAGUGUCCAUUAUUAUCAGCAGUGCCUCCUGAAGAAGAUAAAUCGUGCAGAGGAGGAGUGUGAGUGGGAUAUUUCUCCCAACAGCUGCUGUUUCAGAGGUUUGCGGAGGGGAAAACACCGGUGGCAGAUUUCUUGGAUUCCUUUCUCUCCCUGCAAAAACUCCAACACAUCAGGUUAGUCCUGGUGAAGAAACUCCAGGAAAUUACAGAACUCAGAUCAACACAAAGGAUCAGUGAGAUAAACCCCGAAACUCAGCAUUUCUCAGCAGGUUUUCCUGAGCAGAUCCGUAACAUAUGCCUCCCAGUCUGCGGCCUAACCACAGCUGUCAUCUUACCUACCUGCUGCCACCCUACGUUCCUGCUGCCCUUUGGCACCCAUGCCAACACUGUCCAUUGUCUACAGCAUUUGCCAUUUCGUCAUGAUUACAAUGAGUCCCUGCUUGCAAGAGUGCAUGGACGAAGCCCCAAAUGGCCAGGAAGACCCGUCCGUCUUCAGCCACUGAAGGUGCAACACAGCAGGCAUCAACAAGCACCACAAUGAAGUCUACUCCAGUCUCAGAUACAUGUUUUUCAUUUAAUGAAGGUUAACCCAGUGGGGG